UUAUUAGUUGUUGCCGAAUGUUAUAAGGUUUGCAUUCGUUAGGAAUAUAUUAAUUGUUAAAACGAAAAUCCAAAUAAAUUGUUCUUGAAUGUAAUUUUAGCUCAUAAUUGUAAUAAUUUAACC